rnacentral:rRNA from 1 species
AUUGAACGCUGGCGGCAGGCCUUACACAUGCAAGUCGAGCGGAGCGCCGGUCGCGUGAGUGUUGCCAAGGUAUCUGACUGGGCGUGGGGGCGAACGUUCGCUAAUGGGAGCUAAUGCCGCAUACUCUCAGAUUAGCAUAGGUCGAAUUAGCUAGUUGGUGGGGGAAAGGCCUACCAACGCGACGAGCCGUAACUGGUUUGAGAGGAUGAUCAGUCACACUGGAACUGAGACACGGUCCAGACUCCUACGGGAGGCAGCAGUGGGGAAUGUUGGACAAUGGGCGAAAGCCUGAUCCAGCCAUGCCGCGUGUGUGAAGAAGGUCGUCGGGUUGUAAAGCACUUUAAGUUGGGAGGCGUUACCAGCAGAAUAAGCACCGGCUAACUUCGUGCCAGCAGCCGCGGUAAUUC